AACUAUUUUUCUGGAAAUUUUUAUCAAUUCUGGAAUAUUUUUACCAAUUUGUAUUAUAAAAUUAACAAUUGUUUAUAUAGUAGAAUUUUAGAACAUACGUAAAUAUAAAUCUCACAUAUAGUUUCUCUCCAUAUUAAUUUUCAUAGUUUUGUUAUUUUGAAGAUUAUACUUUUUAAAAUUAUACGAUAUAAUUAGAAUACGAAGAAUUAUAAUAAUGCAGAAAUAUUUAAAUUCAUAAUAAUUUUGGUGUUUAAAUAUAUUGAUAAACAUUCGUAAUAAUAAUAAUAAUAAUGAUCCAUUUUAAAUAUAUCUUGUUCUAAAAUAAGAUUUAAUUGUCUAUAUUAAUGUUAUUUAACUAUAUUACGUGGAAAUCGACAAUGUGGAAUUUAUAAUGGUCUAAUCUCGUGAUUUGUCUUGUAAAAACAAAUUCUAUGACGCAGUGUUUAAAGAAUCAUGUGGAUAAAGAAAAUUCAUCAAUUCCGAAGCACACGUAACCUUAUUACGGACACGAUUGCCUUAAUUUUUUUCUGUAGAAGAUAAAAUCGAGAUAAAGGUCGAAAGAUCCGUGGAUUUGUUCAAUUGUCAUUAAUAAAUGCAAAAAUUUGUAAUGUAAUGUCAUCUCGUGUUUCAUUAGAAUCCAUUGCAUGCAUUGAAUCCAUAGAAUCCAUAGAAUGCAUUGUAUUUUCUUGUAAAAGUGGUGAAGAAAGUUUUGACUCUAGUGUUCUUAAAUGUCGUGAAAAAAUUCAUCCAAUAUGCCUGUCUGACACUGCACACUGUCAGAAUACACAGGCAGCCUUAAAAUGUUAUGCAGAAGCAUGACUUUACAGCUAUUCUAUUCUAUCAUUUUUAAAUGUAAGUAAUGAAACGGAACAAGAAAUUUGAUUGGAUUAGAUAUAGGAAUACUUUUGGUCCUUCGGUAAAACAUAUAUCUGAAAAUAUAAUGGCAAUAAAAUACUAAGCUUGGAUUAAAUGUCCAUCAGGUUAAAAUAUUCAUUUUUCUUUUUUCAUUAGAAAAUUAAAACAAACAGAAUCAAACAUUGUUAUUUUUGUUAUUCUUCUAUGAUUAUAAUCUUUAUAAUUUAAUAUUUAAUUACAAACAUAUUAAUUAUUUCCAAUAGAUAUUCUGUGAAUUUAUAUUUAUGUACAUUUUUAUGCUUUUUAUGUUUCAUUUGUGCAUUUUCCAAAUAAGAUACAAGAAGAAGAAUUUAGUUGUGAAUAUUAAUUUAGAUGAAAAUGAUUUAAGUAUAUCAAAAGAACAUUAAUAUCAAUGUAUCAUGUAACAAGAUGAACGAGAUAAAAUAAAAUUCCAUUAUUAAAUUCAUUUACUUUAAUUUCUCCAGGUAAGAUUUACAGUAACAUUAAGUCAUUAUUAUUUAAUUAUUAAUAAAUUAAAAUAUAGAAAAUUUUAUAUAACACAAACAAUUUUAUUAGGGAUUUAUUUUACUAUUUUAUAAACAAUUGAAUAUUUAAAUUCUUUUUUUUUUUUUUUUGCUUUAAUGAUAAAAUUUAUGAUUCUAUUUCUUUUUUUUAUUCAAUUUUUUUUAUAGCUAUUAGAUUUCAUGGUUUACAUGUACUAAUUGGAUCAUUUUUCUUUUAGUAUCUCCAUAUCGACUGUUAAAAAUUCAUUUUUGAAAUAAACAUAAUAUAA